UGCAGAGCGAGGGUGGGAGUCCAGGCAGGACGGGAUGGAAAUAGGGGCUGUGGGUACGUGCACCCCGUCCAGCUCCUCCUGCCCUGCCGGCACGAAGGGGCGCAGCUGUGGGGUGUCCUGCCGAGACGUGAGAGCUGGGUGUGGGCCACGCGCAAUGCUGAGGACUUCCUGCGCGGUGGGCCGCUGCAGGUCUUUCAUCGCCUGGUGAGUAGAGCGGGUGGCAGCACAAGAAAAGAAACCUCUUGGACAUGCUGAAAGCCAUCUCCUUUAUUUGUUUUCCAGCAUGGAUAGAGGCCAUGGUGCCCUGCAGGGCUUUUUUUUUUUGGCAGGGGGGAGGGGGCUGUUCUUCCUCAGCCAGAUGUUCUGUGCAUUGAGCAGGCUUUACUGCUGGAUGAAACUUGAUGUUCAAAUAGAGCUUUACUGAUUGGACUUUUGUGGAAAUCAGUGUUAUUUUAAUUGAAAUUUUUCUUUGCAAAAUUUUGAUGUUGGAGAAACCUCACUGUGAUCCUCACCAUCAGUGUAAAAGCCUCUUGUCUGCAGGGGUGACUGCCACUCCUCCGAAGGAGCACCCAAAAGGCGUCUUGAUGCGGCAAGGGCUAAGGCUUCCGAGACCUUGGCUUCAAGAAUCUGGAGUGGGGGCUGGGAAGUGCCAUAGAAAUUAUUCUGUCAUUAGGGAGGGUCUUCAAGUGAUCAGCCGCUUCAGCGGCUCAAAACAGAGGCUGCAAGUCGGUGCGUUUGCACCCUAUAAAUAAUAGCCAUCACCAAGCACUAAAGAGCCCCUUCGCUCCCUGGGGAAAGGAGUGGCCAGGAGCAGAUGGCUGGACGUUAAAACCAGAUGAUGCAAGUAUUUCACACUGGGGCAGAACGACAAAACCAGCGAUGGAGUCUCCUUCCUCCCAGGCUCUUUUACCAAGGCAAGGAACCUUCUCCUGGGAGGAUCCUGCUGUAAUGCUGGGAACCUCAUGGAGGGGUGGAUUUGGCCAGCUUUGGCCUUGGCUUCCUGGCAGCUGCCUCCCUGGCGGCAGCGCUGACGAGCUGCGGUGGCACCGCGCACUCCUGCGCUGGAGGCUCGGGAGAGCUUUCCACUGCCCCACCACAUGGGCUGCCACGUGGGGAUGCUGCCCCGACUCCACUCUCACCACUGCUGCUGGGACGUGACUUUGGCUCUCCAGCAUUUGUAUUUAUGGCAUUCUUGUCAUGGGGAGCCAGGUCUUGCCAAGUGGGGGGAGACAGUGUCCAGGUGAUGGGGGGGGAGGCAAUAAAAGCCAGCAAGAAGGAGAGAGAGGCUGGUGUUGCUGAGCUGCUUUGGCAGAAGCACGGCGAGGAGCGAGGGGGCGUUUCUGACCCGUCGCGUGGGAUCACAUCCUCCAACCCACACGGAGCUAAGCCUUUGAGAGCUGUGACGAUACAGCAGAUCCGGGGUACAGAAAUAGUCCCCCCGUCCUCCAGCUGGGUGGAGAAACAUGAGAAGAUCUUUAAGGCUCUGACCCUGCCGUCCUGAAACCCUGGGCCCGGGCACAAGGUCUAGGCGUGAACACACCGUGCUUUCAGGGAGGCAACUAGCCUGCAGGAGAGGGGCUGUACUCUGAGAGCUUUCCAGGGGAGGUGUACUGUAUUUGUAUUUGUUUUGAAAGGUUAAUUAAACCUUAAAUUAAAAAAAAAUUGGCAUCCCAGUCCUCCUUUUUCCUUAAAUUAAAAAAGAUCCUCCCCUUGAAUAAAAGCCAUGCAAAAUAUUUCUUCUAAUUUCCCUCCUGAUUUGGAAGUGAUGCCUUUUUAUUUUGUGGAAAAAGAAACCCUAAAUUUUAGUAUCUGAAAAAAUUUCAAUGUGAUAUUUUUAUUAUAUGUUUCUAUACCCCUGGGCUACAAAGUUUAUAGAAAUCUUUUGCAAGUUGUAUGUCUUCCUCUAAACAUGCAUACGUCUUGUUUUGAAGAUAUGCGAUGCUCUACACAUUAGAGGACAUUUAUAAACGAAGAAUACAUUUACAAUGCCUAAGACUGAAAAUUGCCUUAUAACAAAAUUACAUUAAUCCCAGCUUUCCAGUGGCUGAAGUUAACCAAGUUCUGCGAGCAGUUUCCUUUCAAAGAAGACACAUGGAGGAGAGAAACGCGAAACCGCUGGGCUUGGCGCGGUGAUGGCUUGCACAUGUGCCUCGUGGAGCCCAGGUCAGUGGCACAGCUGUGCGGAGCCAGCCGCCGCUGCCGCCCAGGACACGGGCGCUCCUCGGGUUUCCAGCAGCACCAGGGAAGAGCCACUGCGGGAGGCAUGGCCCGUGCCCCUGGCACCUCUGCCUGGCUUUGCGUAGUGGGGGCAGAUUUUAGCCCCUCCAAGCCAGGCUGCCCUGCACCAAGCCUUUGUCCCUCCCGGCGCCGGUUAUUGAAACCACGUGUUGGAGGGAGCUGCGGGGAGCCCGGGAGGCAGUCGGGGCUGUUUCCGCCCAGGGAGCCAUGCCGGGCAGCCAGUAGCAGGGCACCACGGCAGCACGCUGGGAGAGGAGCUGCAGGGAUAGCAAUGGGGUGAAACCCCACGUGCAGGAUGCCGUCGGGAAGGAGGAGGCUGCUCCGGCAGCCAGGCUGUGCAUGGUGCACGCGCCGCAGGGCAGCUUCCAGCAGGAGCGGGGCCGGGGCACGGCCGCACGCCCGCCCCGUCUGCAAUAACAUGGGGCGUCUGGCUGUGCGGCACAGAGUGGGCAUUGUUCGGCUGCCGGGAAGGCCGCUGGCCUUGGGGCAGGCAGACGGCGCCGGAGGAGGGGGCUUGUCGUGGGGGCGACCACCAAACCGGGGCUGCCGGAGCCUCGUAUUUUUUUUGCGCAGCUGUGGAGGAAAAGGCUCGCGAGGAAGGCUGUCUGGGUUCUGCAAGAACAAGCCGGAGGGGGCGGGGGUCCUUCCUCUCCCCUCCUCUCUCGUGGUGAGACACGAAGGAAUCAAAGGCAGCCUUGGUCGGGGAGCGGGCCUCCCUGGAGACCGCUCGCUCGGCAGCUUACUCGCAGAUGGAGCCGGCGCGGCAGCUUUCAGAGGCUGCCCUGAGCGCACGCACAUGGCUCUGCUGAGCUGCAGCGAGCCGCCUGCCCGCGGGCUCUGGAAAUCCCUCUUAACCCUUUCGGCGGAGGUAGCUGGCCUCUGCAAGCCUGCCUGUGCACCCCGGCGCGUGCUGGGGCCCUCUGCCUUCACCCACCCCCUUCUGUGCCUGGGCGCUUUCCCAAGCUGUGCUGCUCUCUGCGGUCGGGGAUGCCAGGAAAGCCAGCGGGACGGCCCCAAUGUCUGAGCCCUGCUCCGAGCAGUACCCUCAGCAUCGCGCAGGGGGUCGGGUCAGGUCGGGAGGUGCGUGCCCCUGGGGGAUGUGGGUGGGAGAGAUGCCCCUGCCUCCGCGUGCUGCUUCUCUCCGCCCUGCCACUGCCGGAGCCCAGGGACGCCCCUGCCAGGAGCCAGGCGCUCCCAAUGGCUGGGGAAGCUGCAGCCAGGAGCCGCUUGGCAGUUUUAGCACGAAUGGAAAAAGAUAAUAGCUGAUAAGGUGAUCCUGCUUCAAUAAUGCAGUGAGGCACCUGGGAAAGCCAGCAGCAAAGCCAGGGUCAAUACACCUUAGGAUUAGAGAGGACUGCGAGGUAAUCAGCAGCCGAUAAAAGCAAAGGCAGCUGCGAAACAAGGGAGGCUGGAGGUGCUAAGAAAGCAGCUUGUGCAGGCCAGAGAAAUGUGGGUGGCUCUGGCUCUCCUGGCAAUUUUUCCUUGAGCAAGCCCAGCUUCUAGUGGCAUGCCUGGCUCUGCGCAGACCUGCCCGAGCAACCUGCCCCCUCCUCGGACAGCGCUCAGGUCCCCCUUGCAAGGCACCUUGGGAGCGAGGAGGAGAAACGCCAAUGUGAGCCAGGGCCAUCGCAGAUCUGCGGCUCUGCCCCCCGAACCAGGAUCUCCAGCUCUAGGCACGGAGCAGGGAAACGUUGCAGGGUUUCCCGCUGCUGCACAUCUGGGUUGAGUCUCAGCACUGGUCCCCCCGCGUGCCACAGGGCUGCGGCUGCCGGAGCCGCCGGGAGCGCUGGGGGCCGGGAGCACGCAGCGGGUUGCCCCAUGCUGCAGGCAGCCGGUGCCGGGGGCCGCAGGGAGCUCAGCGCUGCCGAGGGACCACUCAGCCCCCUCUCCCACCUGCCCCGCGGCGGCCAGUGCUGCCGUCCCUCCCGCAGAGGUGCUCGCGCCGGAGGUGCACCCCACGCGUACACGGAGGGCUGCUGGGCGCACCACUGUGCAGGAUGGGGCCACAGACAGUGAGCCGGGUCCCCACGCUGGGCUGCUCAGGGCCCCCUUCCCGGGGCCACCCACAGGCACAUGGAUAUUUAUAGGCGACAUGAGCGGAGCAUCCAGCCUCGCACGGCCCCGUGCCUCCAUGUAGGCACACACACAAAGGCCAUACAGGCCCAACACGAAUCAAACACCUCAGAACGAGCCAGAAUAAAUAUUUUAUGGUAAAUUACCAGAGCUAAUAAUUAUAAAAAUCUGUACUUAUGACCCGAAGCCAGGGAAGGAUUUGCAAGCAGCUGGUGGCCACAUGAGCGGCCGUACCCUGAGCUCCUGGGCGGGCCGCCGGCCCCCUCCCCACUCUCGCCCUGUGCAGGGAGAGUCCAGGACUGGGGGCAUCCAAGGGCUGGGGGCUGAGCAUCCCCGGGCAUCUCCCCGGAUCCGGUGCCUGGCGUUACUGGUGAGCGCUGAGUUGGGCUCUGAAGUCCCCUGCGAGCGUUAGAGGUCUGUCCCAGGGAGAUGUUGCCGUCCCCACGUGCUGCGGUGGCCCGUCGCUCCUGGGGGAGAGGGGAGGGCAUGUGCACACAGGAGCACCACUUCUUGUGAGGGACUCGAUUCUCAGAGCACUUGGGAUUAUCUCACUGCUGAAGGUCUUGGGGAAGAAAGCAUUGCGAUGGAGGAGAGGCUGGAAGGAGGGCAAAGGAGAAAGGAGGGUGAGGGAAGGCCCUGACAGAUGAUGGAGGGGGUCAUUUUACUCAUCUGACUGCUCAGAGGUGGCUUUUGGGGUACAGCCACGUUUAGGGUCCGUGCUCUAGCUGACCCUGCUUGGACCAGGUGAUCUCCAGUGGUGCCUUCCCACCCCAACUGCUCGGUGAUUCCUUGGCCAGCAGAAGCCAUUUCAUCUCCCAUGCUGCUCUGGCCUGUCUGGCAGUGGGGGACGUGGGGAGAGCCGCAGGCGGACACGUGCCCCCUGGAGCCGGCAGCAGAGCAGACCUGCAGCAGGAGCCCAGGGAGGCCCAGGAGGCUCCUGCACACCCUGAACAUGCCUUGUUGUGUUUUCUCUCUGUCUUUCAAUGCAUGCAUGUUGCUGGAGCAGGGCUGGCGGGCCCAGGAGGAGCCCGCCUGUGGCAAGGCUGGCAGAGUCGUGCUGCCGGUUCCUGGCACAGCGCUGCUGGUGGGACGCUGCAGGGAGAAAGGGGGCUGGCCCUGGCAGGCUGGGAGGGCUGGCUGUGUGCUUAGAGCUGCACGAAGUGUGCGCAGGGAGAGGAGCUCUGCCCCAGCAUUGCGCGGACCCCUCGGACAGGGACUGCAGCUCGGAGAAGGCACCUGGCAAAGACGGAGCUGUAGGCUCCCUUGCCAUCCCCUCGCUGCAGCCUGGUCUCCAUUGGGCUGGGCUGGAGGAGGACUGGGGGUGGGAGCAGGACUAAGUCUCCAUGGAGGCUGCUGGGAAGGAAAUAAAUAUCCAUUUGCAGCAAAAUGCAGUUUUCCCAUGGCUCUUGCCCAUCUCGCAGGGCCCAGAUUUGCUCAUUCCCGCAGCAAAAACCCCUGCAGCACCCAGCGGGUGGGAAGCCAGGAGCAGAGAAGCAAGUUCUCUGCAGGGAGCUCUUCCCUUCCCUCACCAGCACCAGGGGCCCUGGGUUUGCGGUGGAUAUGCUGUCAAGUAAAUAAAUAAAUAAAUAAUACAUGUUUCCCUUCCUCCUUGCACUGAUUCUGAGAAAAAUAAGAUGGACUUCAGGCCACCACCAAGCUCUCCCUCGCUCUGCUCCUCCGGGUUCGUGAUGGCCGAUGACUCAGACAGUAAACAGCGUCAGUAUCCAGAGCUCCAGCCCCGCUUGGCUCUGCUCCUGCCUUGGACAACUUCAGCAACAAUAGUGUUGGCCUUGAGCACGGCUUACUCACGGAGUUACAGACUCCUUUAAAUGCAAGACAUCCGCUGCAGUGGUUUUGAUUUAGACGGUGCAGAGAUGCCUCAGUGAGAGGCGAGCCCUGGCCUGUAGGCAGAUGGAGGUGAGAGGCUGGGGAGCGAGGCGAUUUCUGCAGGCUGGCGUCUGUGGCAGGCGCACGGCUCCGGCUCUCAGCAGAAAGCUGCGGUGGCUGAUGACUCCUCACCAACGUGAAGCAGCAGGUAGUGCCAAGACUUUCCAACAAAAGUAAAUUGUACAACCUACCAAAACACAAGCUGCUCUGUGUGGCUGUAUAGACAUUUUUGGCAUGUGCUUAUGUGCAUGUUUUGGCACAGAAAUGCACAUCCUAUUUCCACAUGAUGGAUGUGCAAGAAAUGUGUUUCCCUGCAGAGGGGGGCUGCGCAUAUCCCUGGCGGGAGUCGGAGCGGGGCUGUCAGGGGGACGCGCGACAGUGCUGCAGACCCCGGGAACGGGAUGCUGGCCAAAGAGAAACACUGCCUGCAAAGGGGAUGAGCUGGACCGGAAUUGUCUUUUGGAAGAAAGCUGGUAUGUGGGUGUGUUUGUGCGUGAGGACGUUGGACCGGGGAGUGUGUUGAAACAGAAGGCCUUGAUUUUUCAUUUGAGACGGCCUUUCUGAUCUCUUGGAAUAUAAA